rnacentral:lncRNA from 1 species
AUUCAGUCAAAAAGCAUUUAUGGAACACCUACUAUGUGCCAGGGGUAUUACUAACUAUUGGGAUAUGAAGGCUUGUACAGGGAGAUUCAUGUGUUGUCCAAAAGAUGAAGACUCCUCUCAUCUUCUGAGCAUCCAGGUCUCAUCAAGCCCUCUACCACCACCACUCCAUAAACUCUUGAGUUUCUAUUUAAGGCUUCUAUCUGCUUCAAGCUUUUCCCUAGUCCCAAGAUGGCUGCAGAGAGAACUCAAACCUUCAUAUUGCCACUCCAGGAGAAGAUUGAAAGAGCUUUUCUUUCUUAGAAACUCCAAAGAAUGUAGGAGAAACCUGAGGCGCUGAGGUUCAAUGACUUGUUACGUCAUCUACUAAGCUUCUUCCAAACAACAAAGGCAACAGAGCAAGGUGGUG